rnacentral:tRNA from 1 species
CCUGCCUUGCACGCAGGAGGUCAUCGGUUCGACUCCGAUAUUCUCCA